GCCUAGCUAGCUCAGUCGGUAGAGCAUUAAACUCUUAAUCUCAGGGUUGGGGGUUCGAGCUUCCGUUGGGCG
rnacentral:tRNA from 1 species